UGCAUGAGCGGAUCAAAGAUCUAAUUUUAAUUAGAUUGUAACACGUAUAUAUAUACAUGUUUAAUAGAGGGCGAAGCCCGUUUGCUGAUGACGUCAGUCAAUCUCCCUGAUUAAUAUGUUUUACGGCGUGACCGUGUUUGAGGGCGAAGCAAAAAAGUUUUGACAUUAGUAUCUAUAUCCAAAACAGGACAAAAACAACCCGAAGUUAGCACGCGGACGGAGCUGUAUCAAAGCAUCCUAAUUUUUGGACAUUUGAUCCACCUGUAUAUUGAACGCGGGAAAUAUAACGCAAUUGAUGUAAACAGUACAUUGUGACGUCAUAUUCAGCGUCGUUAUUUAGCAAAUUUACAAACAAAGCGUUUGAACCACAACAAAAAACAUGGCGUUAAUCGUGGAGUGAUUAUAUAUGAUUAAGAAAAUAAGAUUUACAUGCUUUUACGGAUUUUAUGUGUAACAUCUCAGAACGACGUGAACUAGGGUAGACGAGAUUCAAAAUGGAGGAAUACAUGUCCACGCGCUAAUAUUCGAAUCGACGCCAUUGGUACCAAACUUUUCAAGUUCCAUAGAACAUCAGCUGAAAUCUCCCAAUUUCAGGAGGGCCUAGAUGUGGUUUGUGGACUGUGGCAAGAGAUAAAGAAAAGUCCCAAUACAUGGAUGCCAUUGUUCUGCCACAAACAAGAGCCACUUUCCAGAGAAAGAUUCUCAGAAAUGUGUGAAUUUCUCAGGAGUCCAGAAGGAAGCAACAAGAGAAUCCAAGAAGAAGACACUAUAUAUUCAUGGGAAAUUUUGAUGCAAGAUAUUCAUAAUCAAAGAGCCCCUAUAACCUUUGAAGAACUGCUAAUUUUUAUCACAGGGGCUGACGAAAUCCCAGUCAGCGGAUUUCCAACGAAAAUUUGUAUUCAGUUCUUCACAAACGAGGAAGGUGAAACCCGCUUACCCUUUUCAUCUACAUGUGCACUUUCAUUAUCCUUGCCAAGAGGGAUUAAUGAUCCAGAAAGUCUGUCUUCCCUGAUGAGCAGGGCGAUUAAAGAGUCAUCAGGAUUUGAUAAAUGUUGAUUUUUAGCUCACCUGAGCUAAAAGCUCAAGUGAGCUUUUCUGAUCACCCGUAGUCUGUCCUUCUGUAAACUUUUAACAUUUUUGACUUCUUCUCAAAAACCACCAGGUCAAUUUCAACUAAAGUUGGCACAACUCAUCCUUAGGUAAAGGGAAUUCUAAAUUCUUAUAAUAAAGGGACAGGCCACCUUCCAAGGGGAGAUAAUCAAGAAAAGGUUAAAAUAGAGUAGGGUCAUUAAAAAAUCUUCUUUUCAAGAACCACUGAGCCAGAAAAGCUGAGGUUUAUAUGAAAGCUUCCUGAUGUAGUGCAGAUUCUAAAUUGUUAAAAUCCUGGCCACAGGGGGGUCGGAUGGGGCCACAAUAGGGGAUCAAAGUUUUACAUACAAAUAUAUAGGAAAAAUCUUUUUCUCAAGAACCACUGAGCCAGAAAAGCUGAUAUUUACAUGAAAGCUUUCUGACAUAGUGCAGAUUCAAGUUUGUUCAAAUCAUGGCCCCUGGGGGUAGGAUGGGGCCACAAGGGGGGAUCAAAGUUUUACAUACAAAUAUAUAGGAAAAAUCUUAUUCUCAAGAACCAUUGGGCCAAAGAAGUUCAAAUUAACAUGAAAGCUUUCUGACAUAGUGUAGAUUCAAGUUUGCAAAAACCAUGGCCUCCAGGGGUAGGUUGGGGCCAUAAUGGGGACUACGGUUUUACAUGCAAAUAUACAUGGAAAGUCUUCUGAUAUGGACCAAGGUGACUUAGGUGAGCGAUGUGGCCCAUGGGCCUCUUGUUUUCCAGAUGCAAACAUUCUUUACCUUAGUCACCUGAGUCAAUUAGGAUUUUGUUUUGCUGUCUGGUUUUGUCCAUUGUCAUCCCUGGUACUAGAGUUUUGAACAUUAUCAGUUUCUUCUCUGAAACAGCUGAACCAAUUUAGGUCUAUGUUUAGCGUGUAUGGGUCAAACGAUGAACUCCAUUGGGUAGGAUGGGCCGAUAAUAGGUGAUCAAAUUUUUUCAAAGGAAUAAAUAGGGGGGAAAUAUGCUGAUGAAGAACAGCAGGGUCAUAGUGAUUCAGAUGAACAUUGUGGCCCAUGGGCCUCUUGUUUUAUUACAGAUGCUUGGAGAUUUUACCCAAUUUCUAUUUACUUUACCUGCAGAACAGCAAGGCCAUGUUAGAUAUUAUAAUGACAUUGAAACAUGAUGUAUAAAAUUUAAGUUAGUUUUUGUCAUGAUCACUUGUUUAGCUCUGUUUAAAGAAGUUGCAUUUAUGAGAAUGUUCCUUUAGUUUUACUUUUUAUACCCCCCGCAACAAGUUGGGGGGGGGGAUACUGGAAUCGGGUUGUCCGUCUGUCUGUCCGUCCGUCUGUAGACGCAAUGGUUUCCGGGCUCUAAAGCAUUAUCCUUUCCACCUACCGUCACCAUAUCAUACAUAUGGACUACCCAUGGGAUGAAGAUGUUCCCUAUUGAUUUUGGGGUCAAAAGGUUAAAGGUCAAGCACAGUGGACAUUGAAGUAGCAAUAUGGUUUCCGGGCUCUAAAGCGUUAUCCUUUCCACCUACCGUCACCAUAUCAUACAUAUGGACUACCCAUGGGAUGAAGAUGUUCCCUAUCGAUUUUGGGAUCAAAAGGUCAAAGGUCAAGCACACUGGACAUCGAAGUAGCAAUAUGGUUCGGUUUGUCAUGCCAUUUGUUUUUUACACUCAGAAAAGAGGUAGUUUAUACCUAUUACCAACGCCCUUUAGGAGAUUGGGGUAAGCGGGGGGUAUUCUUAGUGAGCAUUGCUCACAGUACCUCUUGUUUCAGAAGGACUUUGCAGAAAUAUAUAAAGAAUCUACAUAUAUCAUUGAUUUCAACUGAUUAAUUUUGAUUGUCACCAACGUCAGCAGUUUUCUUCAACUGAUGAAAUAAAACAUGAUUAAAAAA